GUGGAACACUGAAGCCAGGCAUGACUUAUACAGAUUUAAUUGAUGCAGACAUUAAUGUUGGAAACAUUACAAGCAUUGAGUUUAUUUGGAAGGAGUAUUCAUUUGAACAUUCUCAGAGUAAGCUGGGAGCAGAAAUGGUGAUAGAUAUAUCUGGAAAAUAUGGAUAUAAGUCUGCUUUCUGUAGCCAGAACAUCGUAGGACCUAAUAUUGCCCAGAUCCUGAAACCAUGCUAAUCUCAGAUAUAAUCUUGAUGGAUUUAUUUAAUGGGAGCAAUGGGAAAAUUAAUCUCCUUCUAGCUGGCAUCCAGACCAAACUUGGCCCUAUAAAUAAGAUAGAAAGGUACAGUUGCCUUUUUUCUAAAUAGGAUGUUUUUCUUAUUGAAAAGCUUUUAUCUGAACCUUAAAACCAGACUGAGCCCUGGGAUGAAGUACAGUACUGUGACCUAUUGGAAUCUGGUUUUCAGUGACCAAAUCUGGUUUUCAGUGUUGCAAUUUCUCUGAAUUAAGAAGAGGUGCUCCAAGAAUGGUGGUACAGACUUGUCAGUGAAAGUGAGCCUCUGUCUGAUUGAGUGUUUGAAGUACACUUAGAGCAUUUCCAGGUGGAAUAACCAUUGUUCAAAACUGCUUGAAGAAUAUUUACUAUGUUGUUAAAUCUUGCUAAGACAAAUUAUGUCUAUAGCUCAUGAUGUAUAGUAGAUGGUAACCCCAUGGGUUGGUACAUCUAUUGAUUAAUAAUGAAAACUAAUGAGAGCACAUUAGUAUUUUCAAGGUGUUCCUUGGUCUUCAGAGUGAAUGUGAGGUAGAAGAGAUUUUGGAGCUUAUCUGUGAUGUUUGCAUCAGUAAGUAAUAGGUCCUGAGAAUCUUCAGCAUCUUCUUCUAGAAGCCUCCUAUCACAGAAUUACUUAUCCCUCUGGGCCUUGAAGGUCCCAUUACAAAUUUGUAUUUAUUCUAAGGCAGCAUUUCAUUUCCAAAGCACUUGAUGAAUGCUUCGCGUUUAUAAUAACAAUAUUGUAAUUUCUAAAUGUGUUUUCUCUUUUAUUUUGCUUCAAUUUCAUCUAAUUCAGUUGUCCUCACCCAGUGAAAAUAAAAGACGAGCGUUUUUA